GGCGGCAGGCCUAACACAUGCAAGUCGAGCGCUUCCCUUCGGGGAGGAGCGGCGGACGGGUUAGUAACGCGUGGGAAUAUACCCUUCACUAUGGAAUAGCCUUUGGAAACGAAGAGUAAUACCAUAUACGCCCUUCGGGGGAAAGAUUUAUCGGUGAGGGAUUAGCCCGCGUAAGAUUAGAUAGUUGGUGGGGUAAUGGCCUACCAAGUCUACGAUCUUUAGCUGGUUUGAGAGGAUGAUCAGCAACACUGGGACUGAGACACGGCCCAGACUCCUACGGGAGGCAGCAGUGGGGAAUCUUAGACAAUGGGCGCAAGCCUGAUCUAGCCAUGCCGCGUGAGUGAUGAAGGCCUUAGGGUCGUAAAGCUCUUUCACCUGUGAAGAUAAUGACGGUAGCAGGAAAAGAAACCCCGGCUAACUCCGUGCCAGCAGCCGCGGUAAUACGGAGGGGGUUAGCGUUGUUCGGAAUUACUGGGCGUAAAGCGUACGUAGGCGGAUUAGUAAGUAAGAGGUGAAAUCCCAGGGCUCAACCCUGGAACUGCCUUUUAAACUGCUAGUCUUGAGUUCGAGAGAGGUGAGUGGAAUUCCAAGUGUAGAGGUGAAAUUCGUAGAUAUUUGGAGGAACACCAGUGGCGAAGGCGGCUCACUGGCUCGAUACUG
rnacentral:rRNA from 1 species